rnacentral:lncRNA from 1 species
AUGUGUGUGUGUGUAUAAAUAAUUUUAUCAUUUAUUCAAGACAAAAGCUAAUUUGCAUACUAAUGAAAUAGCUGUGCAUUUUUUUAUGUAAAGAAUUAAAUCUUGGCUGAAUGUUUGAUGCUGCAAGACACACAGAACUUCAACAUUUUUCAGAGUGAAUCAAUAUUUUGAUUGUAUAAUCAGUAAUGCUGAGAAGAUUGCUUCAAAUAAAUUCCUAAUACCAAACAGCAGAAAUGUGAUUAGGGCAAUUUUAGAAAUUAUUGGGAGUUCUGUCCUAAUACCAAACCAAAAAAAAUAUCCUUUUUGAGAUUUUAAUUAUUUUUAUCUUAUGUGUAUGAGUGUUUGCCCACACGUUUGUGCAGCAUGUGCAUUCCUGGUGCCUGAGGAGGCCAGAAAGGGUAUCUUGUCCCCUUGGAAAUGGAGUUAUAGGCAGUUAGUUGUGAGCUGCCAUAGGGGUACUGGGAAUCGAACCUGGAUCCUCUGAAAGAGCAUCCAGAUCUCUUAACCACUGAGCCAUCUCUCUAGUCCUUGACUGUUUUAGACUGGUCCUUGCUCUAUGGCCCAGCCUGGCCCUCAAACUCUCAAACCUCCUGGCCGAGCUGAAAGGGAUUACAGAUGUUGUAUAGUUGAACACUGGAUACUAAGCCAUGCAGCGAACCUCUAAGGGAGGUGAGCUGGUCACUUCCUUAUGCUCCACACCGGACUCUCAUUGCUGGGAUGGAUUGGUUCAUUUCCUAGCGGUGGCCUCAUUGGCCAAGCUUCCAGGGCAGAUUAUUGCACAUGCUCACACCAAGCCCUCGGCCUUCAGAGAAACGAUACAGAGUAGCACCUGGCUAGCUGAAGCCUACUCCAAGGAAAGCUGUCCUGGUAGACUGUUGCAGUGAUCGCCAGCUAGUAAAGGCAACUAUUGAUGCUAUUGAUUCUUUAUUGAUGCCAGUGUCAGAGCCAGCACCAUCACCCGUGCCCUCAGGGAUCAUGGCUAGACAUUAGCUGGUUCCACGUCUCAACCCGUGGGCUCUAGUUACACUUUUCUACCCCAGGUUCAGUGUUUGCUUCUUGCUCCAUAAGCUGCAAGCCUGUUUGGACCCCCACUUCUGUGGUGCCUCUCCUAGGUUUUGUAUAGAGUUUCUGUUACCCUUCCAGCCCCUCACUGACAGAGCUAACAUUCCCUUAACACUCCUGGAGUUAUGCUCCCUGUGUCCAGAUUUAACCCAAAAACAACUCCUAUCCUACACUUGAUCUUAGCCAAAAGGCCGAGAAGCGAUAACAACUCCUAUCCUAAAAGGCCUACAGCUCCAGUGUUGGGGAGAUUAGACUGGGAGAGAGAAAUCACAUUGAAAUAUCCAAACACCUUAAUAACCCCACCUGUGCCAGCCCCCUGAGUACUGGGGAGCCCUCGGGUUUGGGUCAAGUUAAUCUGGGAGUAAUGUUUAAAUCAAGUCUAAAUACAUAUAGCUCUUCAACUUCUAACUAGUAUUCUUAGGGUCAAAACCCUAGAAAGUCUUUUUUUUUUUUUUUUCUGACUUUAUUUUAAUAGUAUCUUUGUGUGAGCCUGGGUGUAUGCAUGCGUACCAGUUGGUUGCAGUACCAGCAAAAGCCAGUAGAGGGAAUCAGAUCGCCCGGAGCUGAAGUUAGAGAUGGUUGUGAGCCUCUUUGUGGGUGCCGGAAAACAAACCUAGGUCCUCUGCAAGAGCAGCCAGUGCUCUUAGCCACGGAGCCAUCUCUCCAGCCCCUCUUGUAGCUUUUUAAAUUUUGCUGUAUCUAUUGCUCUGACACCAACUUCUAUGAGAUCAGUUUUGCUUUAUUGCACGUGUGAAUGAAAGGGCUUGUUUUUCUAUGAUGCCCUAUGUCUCUCCACAUUAUGCCAUAGGGUUUCAUCUGUGCCCUCACGAAUUACAGAACUACACCAUUUUCCCCCAUGGUCAGUAGACACUUAUCAAACACUUGCCCUUAGUCUCAGGAGGUACUGUGGGAGCUACACAAACUAGGUAGAUGCUCCCUUUUGUACGGGGUCUUCAAGCCUCCCUGAUAGAUGGCAGGACGGCAUGUCAGUAGGUAUGUGGAGACCGAGGCACCAUGUUUCCUCCAGCAAACGGGUGAUGAGCAUCUUCCAGCAGAGGCAGAGAAAACAUGGAAAAGACAAGCAGCAGAGUGAGAACAGAACGGAAGACUGGGCCUGGUACGUUCAGUCCAGAUUCCUGGGGAUUCCUCCCCGCCCCCCAGAGAAGAGGUUUCCUCUUUCCCAAGUGCUUUUAUGCAUAUUAAUCUCACUGUAGCCCUGACAAAAUCCAGCAAGGGAAGCAAGGCAGGGAUCAGAAAGGGAGAGUGGCUAUGAGGGAGAUUUAUGAUGCAGGGUUUUAUAAUCAAUUAAUCUCAGGCUCAGGGUGGGGGAAGAGCUGAGGUUCACGGCACCUGCUCACUCAUUCAAACGUUAAAUCAUUCAUGUAGCCAGUACUGUGGAGGGCUUAUUGUAUGUCCUGUCUGUGCCCUGCUGCUGGACUUCCAGACUGCCAACUGUGGCCACCAGGCAGGUGAUAGUACC